rnacentral:rRNA from 1 species
UACGUAGGGGGCUAGCGUUGUCCGGAAUCAUUGGGCGUAAAGCGCGUGUAGGCGGUCCGGUAAGUCCGCUGUGAAAGUCGGGGGCUCAACCCUCGAAUGCCGGUGGAUACUGUCGGGCUAGAGUGCGGAAGAGGCGAGUGGAAUUCCUGGUGUAGCGGUGAAAUGCGCAGAUAUCAGGAGGAACACCAUGCGAAGGCAGCUCGCUGGGACGUACUGACGCUGAGACGGACGAAAGCCGGUGGGGAGCAAACAGG